GCAGCACGGUGCCCACUAAAAUUCUUAUUUAUCUCUCCGCAGGAACGUCCGUAUCUUUUCUUCCACACGCAGCGAAGGACCGGCGCCGCCGUCGAACCGAAGAAACGCCGCCGUCCUCGAUUAGCCGCCGUCCUCGAGCAGCCUCACCGUUGCCAUGGACGGCGAUGCCUUCGACCUCAACUCGCAGGCGCCGGAGACUGAUGGUUUCCCGGGGCUUCAGCUGUACGGCAACAUCCUGUCCGACUCUGAUGGUCUGUUCGAUGGUCGUGCCAGCGGCUCUGUGCUUCCUCCGUAUCGCCCACCGUGUGCCGGAGGCGGUGACGCGCGGGCAGCUACAGCGGCACCCUACGCUCGGCAGCUACUCUUCGACGGCUCCACCUCGCGCGGCAGGCAACACAGUUCGUCAGCGGGCGAACUCGGCCGCAGCAGCACCCGUCCGUCGUCAACAGCUCAACAACACAGCGCGUCGUCGCACCAACAGCCAAGGCGCACCGCGUCCGCCACCACCGAGGGCACAGAGGGCUCCGAGGACACAGAGGGCACCCAGGAGUGCAGUCCGUGGGCAAGCAUCCGGCUCCGGCGCUCCCUUGUUUCAUGAAUGCCUUCCGUGAUGACUUAGCUCAUGCUUUGUUUCAUGAAGUGUAAUUUUUUUUAAUAUUGAUUAAGGACUUGUUGUGAUUUGGAUGUUUGAUUUGUGAAAAUAAAUUUAUUUGUGUUA